UACGGAGGAUCCGAGCGUUAUCCGGAUUUACUGGGUUUAAAGGGUGCGUAGGUGGAACGUCAAGUCAGUGGUGAAAACCUGCAGCUCAACUGCAGACCUGCCAUUGAUACUGUCGUUCUUGAGUGUAUUUGAUGUAAGUGGAAUGUGUCAUGUAGCGGUGAAAUGCUUAGAUAUGACACAGAACACCCAUUGCGAAGGCAGCUUACAAAACUACAACUGACACUGAGGCACGAAAGCGUGGGGAUCAAACAGG
rnacentral:rRNA from 1 species